rnacentral:rRNA from 1 species
AGAGUUUGAUCCUGGCUCAGAACGAACGCUGGCGGCGUGGCUAAGACAUGCAAGUCAAACGGACCGUUAAUUUAUUAAUGGUUAGUGGCGAAAGGGUUAGUAAUGGAUAGGUAACGUAUCUUUUGCAUCGGGAUAGCGUCAUCACGACUUCGGUCGUGAUUUCCGAAAGGGGCGGUAAUACCGGAUAAUAUCACUUUUCGAUAGAAUAGUGAUCAAAGAUUUAUCGGCAAAUGAGCGGCCUAUCUCCUAUCAGCUUGUUGGUGAGGUAACGGCCCACCAAGGCAUUGACGGGUAGCGGGACUGAGAGGUUGGCCCGCAACAUCGGGACUGAGACACUGCCCGGACCUCCACGGAGGGCUGCAGUAACGAGUAUUGCGCAAUGGGCGAAAGCCUGACGCAGCGACGCCGCGUGCGGGAUGAAGUCCUUCGGGAUGUAAACCGCUGUCAGGGGUAUGAAAGUCCGGCUCCGGCCGGAUUGAUCUAACCCAAAGGAAGUCACGGCUAACUUCGUGCCAGCAGCCGCGGUAAGACGAAGGUGGCUAGCGUUGUUCGGUGUCACUGGGCUUAAAGCGUGUGUAGGCGGAAGAGUAAGCGUCUUGUGAAAUCCCCCGGCUUAACCGGGGAAUUGCUCGGCGAACUGCUUUUCUUGAGGCAAGUAGGGGUGCAUGGAACUCUUGGUGGAGCGGUGGAAUGCGUAGAUAUCAAGAGGAACGCCAGUGGUGAAAACGGUGCACUGGGCUUGUCCUGACGCUGAGACACGAAAGCGUGGGUAGCGAACGGGAUUAGAUACCCCGGUAGUCCACGCCGUAAACGACGUCUACUAGGUUGCGGGAGUUCUGACACUUUCGCGGCCGAAGCAAAAGUGGUAAGUAGACCGCCUGGGGAGUACGGUCGCAAGGCUAAAACUCAAAGGAAUUGACGGGGGCUCACACAAGCGGUGGAGCAUGUGGAUUAAUUCGAAGCAACGCGCAGAACCUUACCUGGGUUUGACAUGCUUGGAUACUUGCCUGGAAACAGGUUAAGUUGCCCUUCGGGGUGAAACUUGCACAGGUGCUGCAUGGCUGUCGUCAGCUCGUGUCGUGAGAUGUCGGGUUAAGUCCUUUAACGAGCGAAACCCUUGCCGUUAGUUGCCAGCGGGUCAUGCCGGGAACUCUAGCGGGACUGCCGGUGUUAAACCGGAGGAAGGUGGGGACGACGUCAAGUCAUCAUGGCCUUUAUGCCCAGGGCCUCACACGUGCUACAAUGGCGACUACAGAGCGACGCAAUACCGCGAGGUGGAGCAAAUCGCAAAAAAGUCGCCCCAGUUCGGAUUGUAGGCUGGCAACUCGCCUGCAUGAAGUUGGAAUCGCUAGUAAUCGCGUAUCAGCUAUGACGCGGUGAAUGUGUUCCUGAGCCUUGUACACACCGCCCGUCAAGUCACGGAAGUUGGGAGUACCCGAAGUCGGGCUGCUAACCUUUUAGGAAGCGCCUGCCUACGGUAAGCCCGAUGACUGGGACUAAGUCGUAACAAGGUA